GUGCCAGCAGCCGCGGUAAUACGGAGGGUGCAAGCGUUAUCCGGAUUCACUGGGUUUAAAGGGUGCGUAGGAGGGCAGGGAAGUCAGUUGUGAAAUCUCCGGGCUCAACUCGGAAACUGCCGUUGAUACUAUCUGUCUUAAAUACCGUGGAGGUGAGCGGAAUAUGUCAUGUAGCGGUGAAAUGCUUAGAUAUGACAUAGAACACCAAUUGCGAAGGCAGCUCACUACACGAGCAUUGACUCUGAGGCACGAAAGCGUGGGGAGCAAACAGGAUUGGAUACCCUGGUAGUCC
rnacentral:rRNA from 1 species